rnacentral:rRNA from 1 species
UGAUUCGUCACACUAUCAUUAACUGAAUCCAUAGGUUAAUGAGGCGAACCGGGGGAACUGAAACAUCUAAGUACCCCGAGGAAAAGAAAUCAACCGAGAUUCCCCCAGUAGCGGCGAGCGAACGGGGAGGAGCCCAGAGCCUGAAUCAGCAUGUGUGUUAGUGGAAGCGUCUGGAAAGGCGCGCGAUACAGGGUGACAGCCCCGUACACAAAAGCGCAUGUGCUGUGAGCUCGAUGAGUAGGGCGGGACACGUGGUAUCCUGUCUGAAUAUGGGGGGACCAUCCUCCAAGGCUAAAUACUCCUGACUGACCGAUAGUGAACCAGUACCGUGAGGGAAAGGCGAAAAGAACCCCGGCGAGGGGAGUGAAAAAGAACCUGAAACCGUGUACGUACAAGCAGUGGGAGCACCCUUUGGGUGUGACUGCGUACCUUUUGUAUAAUGGGUC